rnacentral:rRNA from 1 species
CUAUGCGCCUUGCCAGCCCGCUCAGUCAGAGUUUGAUCCUGGCUCAGGAUGAACGCUGGCGGCGUGCUUAACACAUGCAAGUCGAACGAUGAAGCCCUGCUUGCAGGGUGGAUUAGUGGCGAACGGGUGAGUAACACGUGAGUAACCUGCCCCCGACUCUGGGAUAAGCCCGGGAAACUGGGUCUAAUACCGGAUAUGACUUCCUACUGCAUGGUGGGUUGUUGAAAGAUUUAUCGGUGGGGGAUGGACUCGCGGCCUAUCAGCUUGUUGGUGAGGUAAUGCUCACCAAGGCGACGACGGGUAGCCGGCCUGAGAGGGUGACCGGCCACACUGGGACUGAGACACGGCCCAG